GCUAAGCCCUAAACAUUGAUUAGCCAUAAUACAAAGCUAUCCGCCAGAGAACUACAAGUGAAAAACUUAAAACUCAAAGGACUUGACGGUGUCCCAUAUCAACCUAGAGGAGCCUGUCCUAUAAUCGAUACCCCUCGCUCCACCCUACCUUAACUAGCAAAACUCAGCCUAUAUACCGCCGUCGACCAGCCUACCCUAUGAAGGUCUAAUAGUAGACAUAAUAGUCACACCACUAGUACGUCAGGUCAAGGUGUAGCAAAUGUUAAGGAAGUGAUUGGCUACAUUUUUUAUGAUAAAAAAUACGGAAUGCAUUAUGAAACCGCUCAUGAAGGUGAAUUUAGUAGUAAAGCAGAUAAGAGUAUCUACUUUAACAAUGCUCUGGGACGUGUACACACCGCCCGUCACCCUCCUUAAUUAACCAAUUUAAUUGUUUAUAAAAACCCCCCCAUAUAUUAAAGGAGGU
rnacentral:rRNA from 1 species